rnacentral:rRNA from 1 species
CCUACGGGCGGCAGCAGUGGGGAAUAUUGGACAAUGGGCGAAAGCCUGAUCCAGCCAUGCCGCGUGUGUGAAGGAGGCCUUCGGGUUGUAAAGCACUUUCAGUGGGGAAGAAAGCCUUGGGGCUAAUACCCUCGAGGAAGGACAUCACCCACAGAAGAAGCACCGGCUAACUCCGUGCCAGCAGCCGCGGUAAUACGGAGGGUGCGAGCGUUAAUCGGAAUUACUGGGCGUAAAGCGCGCGUAGGCGGUCUGAUAAGCCGGUUGUGAAAGCCCCGGGCUCAACCUGGGAACGGCAUCCGGAACUGUCAGGCUAGAGUGCAGGAGAGGAAGGUAGAAUUCCCGGUGUAGCGGUGAAAUGCGUAGAGAUCGGGAGGAAUACCAGUGGCGAAGGCGGCCUUCUGGACUGACACUGACGCUGAGGUGCGAAAGCGUGGGUAGCAAACAGGAUUAGAUACCCUGGUAGUC